rnacentral:sRNA from 1 species
GGACAAAUUGAUAUACCGUUACUUUGCCAAAGUUUUAGUUGGUAGAUAGUUAAAUGAAUUAUAAAACAAUUGAUGUAACGUCAUAUUUCACCAAACUAUGUCAUUUUGAGCUGUAUCGCAGUUAUCAUGAAGGGGUCUAUGUGGUUUUCAAAUAAAUACUUUGUGUGAAUGAUGUUUAAUUUUUUUUCCCUUAAAAUUCUUCAAAUGAAAGCCAGGAUCUGUUGGUUGUGAUUAAAAAAUAUGUAGAUAAAAACAAAUAUAUGAUAUGGUAAAAAAAAAAAAGCAUGAAAACUUGUGUUAUCUGUGCAAACAUAUUUUUUUAUGAAUAAAAUGUUUACUUAUUAUAAUCUGCCAGUAGGUUGUAACCCUGUUACUUCCCUUUAAUGUAUUUUUGAAUUUUCUGAAUGAGGUACUUUGUUCCGAAUAUCACUCUGUGUCGAUUGAAACAUGUUAUAUUCAAAUUAACUUUGACAUUAAAAAGAAAAAAAAUAUGG